UACGAAGGGUGCAAACGUUGCUCGGAAUUAUUGGGUUUAAAGGGUGCGUAGGCGGUUUUCUAAGUCAGCAGUGAAAUACGGCAGCUCAACUGUCGAGGUGCUGUUGAUACUGGGGAACUUGAGUACUGAUGAGGUAGGCGGAAUGGACGGUGUAGCGGUGAAAUGCUUAGAGAUCGUCCAGAACACCGAUAGCGAAGGCAGCUUACUAAGGAGUAACUGACGCUGAGGCACGAAAGUGUGGGGAUCAAACAGG
rnacentral:rRNA from 1 species